CCUACGGGAGGCAGCAGUAGGGAAUAUUUCACAAUGGGGGAAAGCCUGAUGCAGUGACGCCGCGUGAGUGAAGAAGUCAUUCGGUAUGUAAAGCGCUAUUAGAAGCGAAGAAUAUGAUGGUAACUGAGUAAGAAGCACCGGCUAACUACGUGCCAGCAGCCGCGGUAAUACGGAGGGGGCGAGCGUUAUCCGGAUUUACUGGGUGUAAAGGGUGCGUAGACGGCCGUUUAAGUCUGGAGUGAAAGGCGGGGGCUCAACCCCCGGACUGCCGUGGAAACUGUACGGCUGGAGUGUGGGUGAGGCAAGUGGAAUGCCUAGUGUAGCGGUGAAAUGCGUAGAUAUUAGGCGGAACACCAGUGGCGAAGGCGGCUUAC
rnacentral:rRNA from 1 species